CUAGAGCUUCGAGCUCUCUAAAGGGUUGUCGUAGACUACGACGUUGAUAGGCAGGGUGUGUAAGCGCUGUGAGGCGUUGAGCUAACCUGUACUAAUUGCCCGUGAGGCUUAACCAUACAACACCCAAG
rnacentral:rRNA from 1 species